GAUGAAGAACGUAGCGAAAUGCGAUACUUGGUGUGAAUUGCAGAAUCCCGUGAACCAUCGAGUCUUUGAACGCAAGUUGCGCCCGAAGCCAUUAGGCCGAGGGCACGCCUGCCUGGGCGUCACACGUCGUUGCCCCCCCAUCUACUCCUUCGGGAUUGCGGGGGGCGGAUGAUGGCCUCCCGUGCGCCUCGUCGCGCGGUUGGCAUAAAUGCCAAGUCCUCGGCGACGCACGCCACGACAAUCGGUGGUUGCGAAACCUCGGUUGCCCGUCGUGUGCGGUCGUCGCGCAUCGAGGGCUCGAAAAAAUUGCCGGGCUCCGGCUCGGCUUUCAACGCGACCCCAGGUCAGGCGGGGUUACCCUCUGAAUUUAAGCAUAUCAAUAAGCGGAGGA
rnacentral:misc_RNA from 1 species